ensembl:lncRNA
AUGAAUGUCAAGUGCAGCUGGAUGAUGGCAUUCUUUUCAAACUCUAAUCAAGUGUUCAUCUGGAAUGGAUCAGAAAAUAAACCCAAUAGUUUGAGAAGCACUGAUGAGAAGAUAUGUUUAGAACAGGUAAGUGGCAGCCUAAGCAAUUAUGACAAAGGACUAUGUGUUGGUGAAAUGUACAUGACCGUCAUGGAAUCUGGAAUUGGAGUAAAGAGGCUAAGAUAAUAAGUAUAUCUGAAAGGUAUAGGACUGUCUCAAUCUUUUCAUGGUUGUAUCCCCAGGGUCCAGAACAGGUUCUGGUAUAUAUUAAUAGUGAGCACUCUGUAUAUUUGGUGAAUGAAUGAAUGAGUGAAUGAGCUGUGGUGUUUUGCAGGCAGGUCUAAUGGAAUCACCAAGAGUAUGCUCAAUUACAGUGCAGUCCUAGUUCAUUGUGCUUUUUCAGGCAUCGUACAACACCCUCUAGUUCCUUUUGUUCUGAUUAUAGAAACACCAAGACAACUUCUGCAUAUUAGUUGGGUUGCCAAUAUACACUGAAUUCAAGUAGGAUUAAUUUAAAAUAAUUUAAAAUUCUGGGCUGUAUACCAUAACAGAUAGGAUAGGUUGGGUUAUGUUUCUGUAAUAAACAACCUCACUAUCUCAGUGUCUUGAUCCAGCAAUUAUUUUUUUUUCUUUCACACACCUGCACUCAACAAAGGUUGUUAUAGGGCAUGGUCAUUGCAAGUCACCAAAAGCUGUACAUCCACAAUAACCAAGCAGAGGAAGUGGCAAAUCACACCCUGUUUCUUAGAGCUUCAGCAUGAAAGUGACACAUUUCACUUCAUUUUCUUUUUUUCAGCUAAAAUACUGAGCAUGGCUAACAUCAAUAGGGUGGGAAACAGUCCUACCAUGUACCAGGAAAGUGGAGAGCCAGAAAUAUUUUGUGAGGAGUGUUGAUUACCAGCGUAUACACUCACCUAUUGUGAAUUACAUUAACAAGAGUUAUUCUGUCUUUGAUCUUCUGUGAUUGUGAAUGUGAUUGUGUCAUCUGCAUUGAGGUGUGGCACUUUCAGAUCCGAGGACCAAAUCUUGCAUGUGAUGACCCUAUAAAGGGAGGGUCGUUUGUAUCCUCUGCCUCAGCCAUCAGCUCACUUAUUCUAGCAGUUCUGUUUUCUGUUCUUUCUAUAAUAACAAGAGUGACCUUUGUGAGAGAAUACCAUCUCCUUAGGUUCAGAUUCUCUCUCCACCAACCAAACUUUACUGUUGAAUACAUCCUUUGCAUCCAUAAGAAGGCAAGUGGUUGGCCUUAGAUCUUAGCCAGGGAGAUUUCUUCUAGGGAAUUUUAAAAAAUGAUUUUCAAUAAAAUUUUUUAAAUAAAUAUUUUUGUAUGAGAUUGUUACACUGAGUCAGCUUCCAAAAGGCUCACCAAUCUUAAGAAAAUCAAGCAUAUCAAGUAUCUACAUUUGCAAACCUGAGCAGUAGGUCCCUGGGCCUAGUGAUGUAUAUAUUCCUUCUUUUCUUUCCUCCCUUUUCUUCCUCCCUCCCUCCUUUCCUUCCAUCCAUUACCUAUCUAUCUAUCCAUCCAUCCAUCAUCCUCCAAGGCAGGACAUACCUACAUAUCUAGAGUGGGAUAGAAAGGAUACUUCUGAAGUACAUGAAAACUUUUACUUUCUAAUGGAAUAUAAAACAUUUUUGCCCCUUACAAAUAUUUUUAUAUAAUCUGCUUGUGAAUUUACCAGGAAAGAAAAGAUUGGCUUUAAAAAGAUGAUCUUUUUGCAGCUAUUGUCAGCGUUACUUGGACUUCCAAAAUUAGUGGAAUCUUAAUCAAGCUGGGUAAAAUUUGACAGCACAUUUGAAAAGCCCAUGACUUUGGAAAUUAUAAACAGAAAUAAAAAUAUCAAUAUCUGCCUCUGUCUAUAGACAGAUAGCAGAGGGAGAUGGAAAUUUGAGACUUCAAAAUGUGAUUAGCAUAAGCAGUCAAAUGAGAUUACUGAGAUUCCCCCA